rnacentral:rRNA from 1 species
UACGGAGGGUGCAAGCGUUAUCGGCAUUUACUGGGUUUAAAGGGUGCGUAGGUGGGCAGGUAAGUCAGUGGUGAAAUCUCCGAGCUUAACUCGGAAACUGCCUUUGAUACUCUCUGUCUUGAAUAUGGUGGAGGUAAGCGGAAUAUGUCAUGUAGCGGUGAAAUGCUUAGAGAUGACAUAGAACACCUAUUGCGAAGGCAGCUUACUACGCCUAUAUUGACGCUGAGGCACGAAAGCGUGGGGAUCAAACAGG